AUUGAACGCUGGCGGCAUGCCUAACACAUGCAAGUCGAGCGGAUGAAGGGAGCUUGCUCUUGCGGCCAGCGGCGGACGGGUGAGUAAUGCCUAGGAAUCUGCCUAGUAGUGGGGGAUAACGUCGGGAAAGGGGCGCUAAUACCGCAUACGACCUGCGGGAGAAAGUGGGGGAUCUUCGGACCUCACACUAUCAGAUCAGCCUAUGUCGGAUUAGCUAGUUGGUGGGGUAAAGGCCUACCAAGGCGACGAUCCGUAACUGGUCUGAGAGGAUGAUCAGUCACACGGGAACUGAGACACGCCACAGACCCACAGGGGAGGCAGGAGGGGGAAAUAUGGAAAAAGGGGCGAAACCGUGAUCCAGCCACCCCGGGGGUGUGGAGAAGGUUUUGGGAUUGUAAAGCACUUUAAGAGGGAAGAAAGGGCAGUAAGUUAAUACCUUGCUGUUUGACGGUAACUGCAAAAAAAGGCACGGGUAACUACGUG
rnacentral:rRNA from 1 species